CAAUAGCGUAUAUUAAAGUUGUUGCGGUUAAAAAGCUAGUAGUUGGAUCUCGGCAGGCAGGGGGUGGUUCGCUCUUAGCGCUACUGCCCCAUUUGCCUGUGUGAUUGGCGGAGGUUUCGGGGUGCUCUUCGUUGAGUGACCCGGGGCGCCGUCAGGUUUACUUUGAAAAAAUUAGAGUGCUCAAAGCAGGCUUUUCACGCUUGAAUAUUCGUGCAUGGAAUAAUGGAAUAGGAACUCGUUUCUAUUUUGUUGGUUUUCGGAAAUCGAGUUAAUGAUUAAUAGGGACAAUUGGGGGCAUUAGUAUUCAGACGACAGAGGUGAAAUUCUUGGACCGUCUGAAGACUAACUACUGCGAAAGCAUUUGCCAAGAGUGUUUUCAUUAA
rnacentral:rRNA from 1 species